rnacentral:ncRNA from 1 species
CCCAUCUUGAUGGGAGAACCGGGCAAACCCGGUGCCGAAGGAGCAACCGCCCCGGAAACUCUCAGGCCCAAGGACCGUCAGGAUACG